AAUAAAGAAGUGGAAUGAAUUUUCAGUUCUCUCCUUGGAGGAAGGAAUUAAAGUAUUCUACACAUAGAAGAAAGUGUGGAAGCUCAGGCUGGAAAUUCUACCCUACCUCUUGGAGGCUGUAGCAGGAAAACUGGUGUAAUUUCUAUAAUAGACCAGAAUACGGAGUAAGACCCUGCCUCAAAACCAGAGGAGAAAGAGCAAGAGUCACAGGAGUUAAGACUGGAAACAAAACAAGCCAGAGGUCCCCAAGCUUUUGGAUGAACCUACCAUCGGCUGACAACUACCCACUGUACUCCGAGUUCUAACUUCCCAUGGCCCCACACCUGCACGUCUUGGCUCUCCUCAGUGGACAAUAUUAACUAUUUUUGACAAGGUCAUCCGUCUCACCCCGAUCAAGCUUCUGUCCUUGUCGGCAACUUGCAUCUUCUUUCCCAUUGAACCACCACAGGAGACUUGAUCCAAGGACCUGCUACACUGGACAGAGCACAGAAAGUACUUCUAUGUGCUGUGACUGUUCACUCCCACGCAAUGCUGACUUGAACUUCUUGACAAAACCCUCUGUGUCCUGGUACUUGUUUAAGAUCAAACCUCUUUCAGAGGAAAACAGCAGCUUUAACCAGAGUUUCCAGGGGGGAAACCCUAGAGGUUGAAGCUUUUCAAAGUCAGAAUAGAUGAAGUAAAGCCCCAGUUUUAAAACAAGAGUCUGCUGAUAACAGAGGAGGUAACUUAUAUGUACUCAAGAAAAAUAUAAGAUGUGUUAUAAUAGAGAAGAGCAAACUUUUCAAUUUUAAAAUUGCUUU